rnacentral:lncRNA from 1 species
AUCUAUCUUCUCCACACCUAUUCCCAGAGCUUCCUUGACUGUGCAGAGAGAGAGGCAGAGCUGCAGCAGGAGUGACCGUGAUAAAACGAGGGGCCAGGAGGGAGCAUGGUGUGCUGCAAGGGAAGAUGAGUAACAGCAGCACCUGCAGCUCUCCGAUAGCACUGCCCAUCCCUUGGCCGUGCCUGUGGGCCCUGGUGCUGCUGCAGGCUCUCUGGCUCCAUGCCAGACACUGCUGGGGCAUCCGUUGAGUUUCUUAUCCUCCCCUGACAGCUGCUGGUGUCCUUUGGCACUUUGGAGCCAAGGGCAAAAACAGCCCUCCCUUGGGGUGGAUGUGGGAGGAGUAUGACUGGCAAUGCAUCCAGUUGAAGCUGUUCCUGGUGCCGGGGUGUUGAAAUGCUGUAAACCCUUAACUGUAAGCACGUGUAUAAAUUGCGGAGCUCAGGUCUUCAUUUGAGCAGUUCGGAGAGGUGGAGGGAGAUGAGAGAAGAGGUCAAGUCCUCCAGCAUCACUGGGUUAGAAAGGAGAUCCAAGACGGACACAGGGAGGGAACCAGUUUGAAGCUCAAGGAAGGAGACCCCCAGCUCUCUGUGAAGGAUGGGCGUGAGCUGGCAUCGAGUCAGAAUGUCCUUGUGAAGGUGGGAGAGAACUGGAGCGUUGGGGCUCCUCCGCCUUUGAAACCACCUUUGUGUGAGCAAGAACUGGAGCUGUCCUGCAAAGAUUGCCCUUAGGAGACGUGUAUGGGCUUUGCUAUGGAGAACAACAGCUCUUCUGUGGCUGACAGCCUAACACUGGGAUGAAGAGCACCCCACACGUGGCUGAUCUGGAGGCUGCUGCAGUUGCCAGAGCGGGACCCAAGCAUGGAUGAUCCUGAGAAACCUGCACAGCGACGGCCCCUGGACUCCCCUGACUGGGAAGAGGUUAAUUUAAACAGCCUGAAAAGCAGCAAAGGGAAAAGUCAUCUUUCAUGAGAUGGAACUGUGACUGUCCCUUUCUGAGGAACAGGCCUGUACCAGGGAUGCAAGCUAGCAUGUGGUCCUACCCUUUGCAAGAUCCUUUGUGUAUGCAGCCUCCGAUUCCUUCUCCUCCAGUUCCUUAUCUUAGCUUGUAAAACAUGCUGCAUAUGGCCAACAAGGCUAUCUGUGUCUAGCUUACGUGCAAACCUGGAGACAUCUCUGCACAAAUCACCACUGACUUGCAAAAUCCUCCAGCCCUCUGCUGCCUUAUUGUCUUUGUGGUCACAUGCGCUCUAUUUGCUGUGGGUCGUUUACUGCCAACCUUGGAGGAAUGUCAGUAACUGGAAAGCUGAGCUUUCUCCUUUCUGUUUUGUCAGUCAGGGUGUCCAUCAGCAGAUGUAGCAGGGUACUGGAGGACUACAGCCUGCAUGGGUCACGCCUUCAGCUGAAAUGGCACCAGGCAUAGACCAGGUGCCCACACAGGGGAUUUCAGACCACAGCCUGCAUUUGUAGGGCAACUGGGAGGAAAAUGUUGUCUUGUUUGUCAACUGAACUCCACUGAUGCUCACUGAUGUUCUCCUUAUUGUGCCAUAGGGAAGGUUUGUAUGUUCACAUUUACACCUUGGAAGACCAUUUCCAGGGCAUGACAAUGAGCGCAUUUUAGCCGAUUAUUUUGAACAGAAGGGUGCUGGGCUCGGGAGCAUCCCUCAGGACCAGGAUGGGGAUCCUAGUGGCCAGGUGGGCUGGAAGGCUCUGUACUGAACUGUAGGGACAGUGCUGGAGGCUUGGAGGAGAAAAUGGAGACACACCAUGGCUGAAUGUUUUGGUCAACCUCUUGCCAGACUGAGUCUGUACCAGAGCUCCUAAAGGACAGAGCUCAUGUCUUCCUCUGACUCUUCAGCAGCAUGCUUGAUGUUUGUAGGCCAAAAGUGUUCACAUGUGAACACGGUGAGCAGCUCAGCAGCUGAGAGGUGUCAGCUUCUUGCUCCCUUUGAACCACUUGUGCAAGAAACCCCUCGUGUGGUUACUGCCUGGCUGGUAGCUCGUCACCACACCGUGCUAGGCCACUGUGCUGCAGAACAGCAGAACAACUGUGCUUCUAGACAUGCUGCUGACACCACAACAUCCUUGACCAGGCUGGUGCAUGCCCUGCAUCCUCUGAGGUGGUUUCAGGGUGUGUUUGUCUUCAGACAAAAAGCAAUGCUCUGCAUGCCUCCAGAGAGGGUCUGCUGUCUGCUCUCAAGUGAGAGGCAGGAUGUGCAAGCAAAGUCAGGCUUGGUGUCACCAAACCCAGACUCAUUUCCUCCUCCCAGUGUUCGAGGCUCUCUGGAGCAGAGGUUGGACCUGAGACUCAUUUGUAGCCCUCAGCAAACUUCUCAUAAACAGGAAAGAGCACUGUGGGGAGGACGACAAGACAGCAAUCAGUUCUGCUCUGUCUUUUGUUCUUCCCCUCCUCUUUUGUCUUAAGACUAACAAUGCCUUGUUUGAUUUGUUGCACGGACAGCUGCCAGAUGGAAGUAAAACUGUCCUUCAAGAGGGUGGCAGUCCUCAACGGGAUGGUCAUGGCCUCAUCCUGCCUGCAGCUGCGGAAAUGCCACCUACUGGGCCUGCUUCUGGCCUGCAGCCGCUGUGCUUGAGGAAGGCUGCAUGCCGGGAGGGAGGCCCUAGAGAUGCUAUCAAGUGACAAGGACCUUGGGCUCUUUGCCUGGGUUGUGUUCUCUUCCCCAGACUUUCCAGAUCAGAAUAGCGGAGGGAGCCUUCCUUACUGGGGCAUCAGACACCGUGCGGGGUGUUAUCUCAGCCCUGUGACAGCUCAUUGUUUGGUUUCCUUCCGUAAUGUCACUGUGGUGAAGGAGAGAGAAAACUUUUGCUUUCCAACUGUUCUCUCUGUUUUUUGUUUGUUUGUUUGUUUGUUUUGCUGCAGCCCCCUGUGCCUGCUGGUAGCUUCCUCAAGUGCCUGAAGCUGAUUGGGAAAUAGUCCCUGCUGUUAUUGAGGCUUGUCCUGCUCUGGAGGGUGAUGAGCUCCAUGGCAGGAAGCUGCUCUCUCAAAGCAGAUCUCUUCAAAAUUAAAGAGAAGAGUUGGUUCUCUUCUGCAUAAUUUGCUCCUUGGCCUUCAAGAUUUAACAUCCAUUGAAAGUAGGGAUGGCUGAGCUGGUGUGACGCAGUUUGUCCUGCGUACAGGAGGCAUGGCCUAGAGAUAAGGACACUCAACUGAAGCAAGAAGUAGGAGCCAGAUCUCUGCUGAAUUCCCAGAUUACUAAGACUCCUUUUUCUCCACUUCUUUCUAGCUCUAUGAGUCUUGCUUUUGUGACUGCCUGUUGGGUCAUCCUCAACAAGGCAAGCCUGGACCCAGUAACACCAGUGUCCCCCUGUUUAAGUCACCUUCCUGCAACAUGGGGAGUUGAAUCCUUUCCAGGUGGAGGAGAAACUUUUAUUUCUCAUAUCAUGGGUGAGCUGCCGCCAGUGAGCAGUACUGUGCAGUGCAGCUUCUAGUGGCUAUUUUCAGGUACUGUAAUGCCUCAGCUGACUAUUUGUGACUUAUCUUUGACACAAGGGGAUGCACCAGCAGAGAUUCCUGAUUCCUCCUUGGCAGCUAAAAUACCAACAAAAACAGCAUGGAAGUGUCCUUCCUUCCACACCUCCCCACGACCCUAACAGAGGUGUGUGAGGAUUUAGAUUCCUUACAUGCCUGCAAGGCACUCAGCUCAGCUCAAGAGCCUCAUCACAAAGUUAUUAUAGCCUGUGUGCUCCUCAGUGGGUGUGAAGUGGUUAAUGACUGACUUGUAAAACUGCUCUGUGCAUGGGUGAACUGUGUAGGUGUUUUCAGAAACAGCUGUGCCAGUUUCCCCUGUCAGGAUGGGCUUGGGUGCUGGCCAACUUUCCUGUCACUCUCUGUUUGCAAAGCUUUGUGUGAUUGAGUUUUGGUUUUUGAAAUCCGUCAGGUACAACUGAAAUUCAAAAGCUGAAAGCUUGAAAAGCUGAAAGUUUUUAGUAUUAUUUCAGAGCUUGCUUGGUUUUGCAGGAUUCAUCACUGUGAAUACCAGUGUUCUGGAACUCUGUCACAUGAUGAAAUCAACCUACUACUGCUAAGAAGCACCAGUUUGUAACUUAAACACUGAUUAUGCCAGGAGGAGAAGCCCAAAUCCAUUUAGAUGAUGCUCAUCAAAGAUCUCUGUGGUCUAGGUCUAUGGUCUAUAUAUGGUGUCUGGAAAGCUGGGCUUGGGUAUGUGUAGGAACUACUAAAUAGGCCAUUUUGACACCCUAGUUUUUGAUGUCCUACAUCGUAACUCCUACAGUGCAUUUAGCAGCUUGUGUGAAAGUCUCUCUAGAAAGUACUGUCUUCUGUCCACUGAAAAUGCAUUUGUUCAUCCAUCACAGAAGCCCCUGGCAGGUGCCCUGGAGGUUUUCAAGGAACAUGUAAACGUGGCACUGAGGGACAUGGUUAGUGGGCAUGGUGGAGAUGGGCUGAUGGCUGGACUGGAUUACCUUAGUGGUCUUUUCCAACCUAAAUGAUUCAGUUAUUCUUUACAGCCACAUGUGGUCAAGGCCUGGAAAAAUCUCUUCUAGGUCAGAGAAGUGGACUGCUUUUACCUCAAUGGACUCAUUUCCUGAGGACAGUAUACCUCAAUGGACUCAUUUCCUGAGGACAGUAACAGGUGAGAUAGAUUUUGUGCACCACACCCAACAUGGCCCAUGCAAUACGGUUUGCUGUCUGCUGUUCUCAAUUCCCAGACUUUGUUCUCCAAGCUAUUGAACUUGUCACGUCCCCCUGACGCUGAUAUUUUAGGAGAAACUAGAGGCUUCUGGAAUGAUUUGUUCCCAUACAAAACUGGAAAUGAGUUUCCACCCACUGAUACUAUUUAUAAGCAAGUAGUAGCAGCAUUAAACUAGAAUCCCUGCUGUUCCUGAUGCUACUCAAGGAAUACAUGGUUGUUACUGUCCCAUUACGGGCCCGGUGGGUGUGAAAGGUGCGGCUCAUUUUGAACCAUUUCUUGUUUAUUCUUAUCACUCUUGAACACCUGUGAGUCAGAGGUCUGUCUCUGGCUUUCUUUCCUUCUCUCAGUCUACAUUUGCAGACUAAAAUGGUGGGUUUCUGGUAGAUCUUGUCACUUCUAUGUAAUUUGGCCAUUUCAGAAUGAAAUACGUAAAUGAACUUAGGCUGCUAAUUGCCCUGUCCUCUGCACUUGUUAUGGGUGACAUCUGGGCGCAUUGGUAUGAGUUGUGAACAGUCAUGCUUUCUGCGAAGAACCUAAGCCAGAACUGGAGGAAAUUAAAUCUACAGAUAGAAGGAUGUAUUUCUGGUGCCACUGCAACCAGGGACCCAUCCCUCCCUUAGCUUUUUUUUUCAAGCUGAAGAGUUGAUUCAGUUACUUGGCAGUUGGGUGCCGUUUCAAGCCUUUUGCUAUCUCCUUAUUGAGAAAAUUGACUAGGGCUGCCUAAAAUUUCCAAUUUCCUUUUUAUUUUCUUUGCCUUGCUCUAGUUAUUCCUAUCAUUCUCUUUUUCAAAGCGACUGAGCUGGAAUUUUCAGAUGAUUGCUCACAAUGACUCUGGUCCUUUUACUUUCUGUGUAUGGCUAAUGUGAUUUCUCCCACACAGAUUAACCUAUGCUUAUUGACACUGCAUUUUACCAGUGGUUUCAUUGCCUGGUCACUCAGCAUCAUGUCACAGUUAUUCAUAUUCAGAUUUAGAUCUCAAAAUCCUGGAUAACUUACAGCAGCUGGUCACUUGAUCAUUUGAUUGCUCAUCCCUUUUCCAGAUCACUGUGAUGGUAGUGAACAGAAGAAAUUCAGCAUAAAUUCUCAGGGGACUUUCCAGAAGCUUAUUAUAUAAGUGUUACAUAUGUAUUCACACAAAAAGGUACACAAAGAAACAUAUGCAUGCAUGUGUACGUGCAUUAUCAUAUGUAUGUGUGCAUACAUAUAAUAAUUUAUGCCUACUUUUAACUUCUGGUAUUUCAUUCUUAUGAGCUUCUGAUAUUUCAUGACAGUAAUUUCUUUAAGAACCUUGACUGGGAGAGAGAAUUCAGCUGCCUGUGUUUUUCAAAAACCGGCUGCAGUGAAUCAAUAGAACAGCUCUGGCCCUCAUGCCUGACAACUUUCCAAAAAUAUCUGAUGGAUUUGUGAGGUAUGGCGUGUCUUUAUAAAAGCUAUGUUGACUUCCACUGACCAAUUGAUCCAUUGAGCUAUCUACUUCACACAGACACACAAGUUGAAGAGGGCUUCUGGAGUUCUGUGGUCCAAUCUCACAUUGAAAGCAACCAACUCUGCUGUUGUCUGGCUAAGUCUUGGAAACCCCCAAGGGUAAAGUUCUUACCUCCUCUCCAGAUGUAGGUCUCAGAGCUGCACCAUCCAUCUCCAGGAAAAAAAAAAACAAGUGUCCUAGUGGCCAAUCUGAGCUUCCUAAGUGCAGUCUAGCAACCUCUUCUUCUACCCUUUAUUACUGUUCCUCACUUGACUUUUCACCACUGCCAAGAAGAAUUUGAUUCCAUUAUUUAUUGCUCUUCUUCAAGUAGUUUGAUUUUUGGAGACUCUCCAUCCUUGACAAUAUUGACAGCUGGAGCAGACUGCUCAGAAGUUGAGUCCUCUGCUCUGAGCAGAGGUUAGAGUAGGGGUGUCCAGAAGCCCCUUCCAACAUGAAUUAUUCCAUAAUUCUACAGUCAGGCUGGACUCCAGUAGUGAGUUUCUCCUCAAGGGAAGUCCAAGGUGAUUUGUUAGGAGGUAUCAUCUACUAUAUCUUGGCACUCCAGAAACAGUUUGAAAAUUUCCAAGACACGUAUUGUUGAGUAUCCUUGGCAUACCGGAGCAAAGUGAGCAAAACAGCACAGGAAGUGCUUUUCACACAUUUCCUCCAUGCGUUCAGUUGAGAUGCCUGUAUUAGGAAAGAGGUUGCAAACUGAUAUUCUGCCACUGUCUCAUUUUGAGUUGUUCGUCCAUUUUUUGAUUCAGUGUUUGUUCGAAUGAAAUGCUGACUGGAAAACAAAGCUUAUGUCAGCCCUUACCAGCAGAGCAUUCUUUUGAAGGUAAAGAGCUGUAAGGCAGCAUGAUAGGAACAGUGAGUCCUAUCAGAGCCAGCAGCAAAACACUUAAAUGCUGAAAUAGUUCAGCAUCUGCUGAGAGCAAGAACUAUCCAUAUAAAAGACACUAAUCUGUCAUAGACUUUAAAGCUAGAAGGGAUUAUGAUGAUCUUUCUCUCUAACCUCCUACAUAAUUCAGACCAUACGAUAUCAUUUCACAUCAAGCUCUUAUCUUCCAAAUGAGCCUGAAAAAGGCAUCCACUCUUGACUGAAGUACUGACAGUGAUGAAGAUUCCAUCCUAUCUUUGGGAGAUGAUGGUAAGAUUAGUUAUCCUGACAGUUAUGAAAAAUACAGUCUAUUUCAGUGCUUUGUUUCAGCUUUCAUCCACUGGCAUUUGUGAUGCUUUUUGCUGAAUUAUGUGCUUUUCUACUAUCAGGAAGUUUGGCUACCAAGAGUAAUUUUGACCAGCUUUCUUACCUUUUUUCAGUGUGUGGUCAAAGCCUCAGAAGGACCCAGAAGAACUAUUUCUGGCUGGGUUGUAGACGUUUCAGAUAACCUUGACCUUAGCUUGUUUCUGCUAAUGGUGAUCCUCUGUAGAACUGAGAUAAUGAUACUUCCCUCCCUCUCACAGGUGUUGACUGAGAAAAAAAGACCAUUAAAAUUUCUCACAUGCUACAGUGGGAGGAAAAUAGUGGGUCACACGGAGAUCAGAGGCUGGAUAUUACAUUCCAAGAUGUGGUUUAGUGCAGCAAUCUUAUCUACUGGAAACUGAAGUCCUCUCAUAUUGCUGCAAGAUAUGAGCUGCAUUUUCAUGUAUGGAUAGUGGUGCUCUGAAUCAAAAGACAAUAUCUGAAAACAUUUGUAUAGAGUGGUAGUUGAAUAUCUGUGAAAGAGAGAAGAUAUUUGGGGACAGUAGGGGAUAAUUGCUUUCUUUGUAGGGGACAUUGAGAUAAGGCAAUGUAGAUCAAGUGAAGACUAUUUCUCAUAGCAAAACACUUACCAAGAUGUAAAAACAGAAGCUCAUCUAUUUGAUUCAGUUCAUCUGUCUACUCUAAAUGGAGCGUUUAUUUGUAAUGGAGCCAGUGGUCUCAGUUAUCAGCCAUACCUUUUACAGUCAAAGCCUAGACCAAAAUAGCUUCCAAGUCCUUCUGAUUUUCUAUUUUUGUCAGUGAUCUGCUUAAAUGCUGAGGACACUCAGACCAAUCUAAUUGGCUAAGCAUUUGUGCUAGAGGAGUGGAUCACCUCCCUAUAUUUAAAAUGAACAUAUAUAUGAUGUCCUUGGGGUGGGAGAGCAGGGGUGUCUCGUGCUGCCAACUGCUGAGUCAUGGCUGAAAACCAAGGAAGAUGAACCACUCAGCACAAGGCUGGUGUCUCCUAUACUGUUGCUCUGUGGUGCUCAAGAUGUGAAGUACUAUGUUGGGAUGAGUUGAGAUAGAAGAUGAUCUCCCUGUUUUGCCUCCCAUGCUAGGGUCAGCUUUUUUUCAGCCCUGGUGACCAAGUCUGGAUGGAGCUUUGCUGAUGAUGGGGAAUGACUCAGUGGCAUGAGACUCCCCUCAGCCAUGUGUCAGGGAGUAGGUCUUUGUAGAUCAAAUAAGACCUUCAACUGAAAUUCAAAGGAGGUUUUUCCUGUUGUCCACUGUUUUCUGUUAUGCAUAAGUGAUAUAGAUGGCUUUAUUUUCUAGAGUCCCAAAUGCAUGUGAUGCUGAGCUGAUAUUUAGGCUAAAAAUCAACAGCCCAGAUGUCCAUCCCCAUUUUCAUACACAGGGAGUGAAAGACUAAUUCAUUUGGCUCUCUUCUUUCCCGUUGACAAGUUAUCAUAAACAGAGAUGUGUCCAAGUCUGUAUCACAAAAAUUGUUUAUCCUCUAUGGUAAAAACAGAUAUUGAAACAGAAAUCUGAGACUUCUUCCAGAUUACUCUGGGUUAAAGGCUUUGGUCAAACUAUAUAGUCAAACUAUAUAAGUUUGGUCAACUUAUAUAGUUGCUUUAUAUUAUUUGCUGGUUCAUAAAGAGUAAUUCAGCAUUAACAUGUUAAGUCAAUAAUUUUCCUCUCUUCUGUAUCUGUUUUUACAUAGCAGCUGAAACUGAUGAAUCCUGUGAUGGAAUUAUAGAAUUAUAUCAUAGAAUCAUAGAAUGGCCUGGGUUGAAAAGGAACACAAUGAUCAUUGAGUUUCAACCCCCCUGCUAUGUGCAGGGUCACCAACCACCAGACCAGGCUGCCCAGAGCCACAUCCAGCCUGGCCUUGAAUGCCUGCAGGGAUGGGGCAUCCACAACAUCCUUGGGCAACCUGUUCCAGUGCGUCACCACCCUCUGUGUGAAAAACUUCCUCCUAAUAUCCAACCUAAACCUCCCCUGUCUCAGUUCAAGACCAUUCCCCCUUGUCCUAUCACUGUCCACCCUUGUAAACAGCCGUUCCCCUUCCUGUUUAUAUGCUCCCUUCCAGUACUGGCAGGCCACAAUGAGGUCUCCCUGGAGCCUUCUCUUUUCCAAGCUAAACAAGCCCAGUUCCCUCAACCUUUCCUCAUAGGAGAGGUGCUCCAGCACCUCAUCUUAGUGGCCUCCUCUGGACCCACUCCAAGAGCUCCACGUCCUUCCUGUACUGGGGGCCCCAGGCCUGGAUGCAGUAGUGCAGAUGGGGCCUCACAAGAGCCGAGUAGAGGGGCACAAUCACCUCCCGCUCCCUGCUGGCCGUCCCCUGUCCACCGAAGCUGUCACUCCAUCAUAGAAGGCCACCAGAUUGGUCAGGCACGAUCUGCCCUUGGUGAAGCCAUGAUGGCUGUCUUGAAUCAACUCUUUAUCUCAUAUGUGCCUUAACAUGGCUUCUAGGAGGAUCUGCUCCAUGAUCUUCUCACACACAGAGCUGAGGCUCACCGGCCUGUAGUUCCCUGGGUCAUCCUUUCUCCCUUUCCUAAAAAUGGGAGUAAUGUUUCCCUUUUUCCAGUCACUGGGGACUUCACCAGACAGCCAUGAUUUUCAAAUAUGAUGGAGAGCAGCUCAGCAAAUGACAGUGCAGCAAAUGACAAAAGGGAAUGAACUGUACAAGAUGCAUGUCUGGGAGCUUUUGGGGUGGGUUGUGAUCACUGACGCUGGGUGCUAUCAGCCAUGUCUUUGUUUGGAGAUCACAUGCAGUCUAUACAGAAUUACUUAGGGAAAAACAAACUCACAGGGCCUGAUGCUGGUAGUUUGGCCACAGCUUCCAGCCCAGGCCACAGCUGACCGUGGCAAAAACAACAAAUUCUUUCAUGUUGUUAUGUAUUUAAUUACAUAAACACUGGGGAACUCAAGUCUCAGCCCAGAUCUCUCUUGAGUAAUAUAAUUACAAAGACUGCUUUGGCAAGAUUGUAUGUAGCUAGAAUUGGCUGUUGGUGUUUUCUCCUUUUCCCUUUUUUAAAUAGAUGUUUCCAAAGAGAAGUCCUUUGUAAAUGAAAUUACUAUUUCCUUUCAUAAAUUUUUGAGGAAAAAAAUAAAAGGAUCUGGCAUUUUCCCACUCACCCACCCAUCUUGGAUUUCAUUCAGACAUGCUGUGCUCAUGACAAUAUUUUGGCUUUGACAAAUGGGAAACUUUUGGAUGUCAUUGUGGAAUAUAGGUGUGUUGUGUCGCUUCCUUUUUCUGAGGACAGAUCCUAUGAUUUUUUGCUAAUGGCGUUGUUUUUUUCAGAUAUUUUUGAUAUCAGAUUAACAAUAUACUGCAGAGUAUUUUAAUUAUUGGUUUUUUUACAGGCACUAUGUAAACAUACUGUUUCUCAGGCUUCUAAAAGCUCUGCUUCUAAAAUAUGACAAAAAGAAGUAUAUAAAAACGGAUAAUAACCCCCAAUCCAUGCCAUGUAGAAACCCAAGCUCGUCUGCAAACUAAGCACCAAGUGCUUAUUUUACAGCAUGACCUUUCCUGGUGCUUCCCGACUCAUCAUUCCAAUGGCAUUAGUGCAGUUGGAAUGGAAAUUUUGGUUUCAUUUGAUUAUAUGAUACUGGGAAAACUCUUGUGGCAUUGCUAGUUUGAAUUUAAUAGUACAAGCUUAGUCAAUGUGCUGUUUCAUUGCUCUUUACCAACCUGUCAUGUAGUUGAGGACAUGGGAGCUCUGAGCAGCUAUUUCCUCCUCUCCUGUCUCAAGGAAAAAGCAUUUGCUUUCUCUCAGGAAAAUAAAAAGAAAGUGUUUGUGAAGUUAGGUCUCUUUGGGAACAGCUUUGUUUUUAACACGGCCCUUAUUUGUACUGGAGGAGUUACAUUGACUUGCGUUAUGCAAUAAUUAGACAACACGCAGAUCCCAGCUCUUCCUGGGAAUGUUGGAUUCACCACAUUAUCAACUUCCAUGCAUUUUUCUGGCUUUUCCUAUGCAGUGAUGGCUGGGUACCCCGGCAGACCUUGAAGUCAUGGGAUGUUCUGGAGGUAUGUGUGGUCACCAGGUGAACAGAAAUAAGUCUGGGCUGUGGAUCGAGUUCAGGUUGCCUGGUGUGACUGGGAAGAGCACGGUGUGCAAAAUGAUUUCAUCUAAAUUUAGUAGCAGUGUUGUGGCUGGAAAGGGAUGAAGAGAACUUGGCACCCACCUCCUCACCUCACACUGUCUCCUCCCACAGAAGGGUUGUCGGCCUCCAAACAGAGCACUGCUGGUGUGUAGCCUGAGCAAGCAGCCUUCAAAUCACACUUUUUGCUUCUGUAAACUGUUUUGGUAAGUCAUUUCUUAGCAUCCAGGGCAGCCUUUAUGUACCAGUGCUCUAGAGCAAUGGAGGAGAUUCUGUCCUACUAAGUGGAUGAUGAACCUGUGUGAGCUGCCCUGGCUGAGCUGUUAUCACCUGCAUUUGUGUCUUUACGCUCCAUGGUCCAGGUAACAAAUGAAACCAGUUGGGUUGAUCUGCUAAACCAGUACCUUCAGGUGCUACAAAGGCACUCUGUGAUGCACAGGAGUCAGUCCCACAUUUGCCUUCUCCUUGGCCUCUGCCAGCACUCUCUGUGGACAGGGCAGGUGGGAUCUGGGCUUGUUCUUUCUGUCUGUUCUCAUCUUGGCAUCACUUCCAGGCUUGUCCCUCUCACAUCAAAUCCUACCACUCAUCUGCAGAGAUGUGCUGCCUUCAAUUGGCUCUAAUGCAACCUUAGGACGCAUACCUGCUGCAUGGGAAGUGAGCAAUGGAUGUCACUGUCAAGAAGAGCUGAAGGCUGUCAUCUCCUAACAGCUCUUUCCAGUGCUGCUAUGUUUGCUUUAUUUUGGUCAGCAGAUUUGAUGACCAUUUAAUUUGGCAUUUCCAGCUGCUUUUUUUUCUUUCCUUUUUUUUCAGUUUAUGUGGGGAAAAAAUAAUGUAUCUUUUAAAAAGUUGACUGUCUGUUUCUUGAAGCAGCAACCUGGCAUUUUUUGCCUCUUCCCAUCCAGGUUUUGUCCACCAGGUUUGACAUUUCCUUUCUAUCCUCAGUAAUCAAUUGCAGUGCAUUGCACCCUGAAGAGAGGACUGUCGUUUGGCAUCAAUGCUGCUUAGCUUGGGUCAUCAGGUUUGCUAAUAGAGAUAGACUUUGAACAACCAUAGUCCUGCUGACAUCUUUGGAGGGAAGGGAGAGGGCCUUGUUUCUCCUUUCUGGUCUAAAAUGAAAGAAAAUAGUGCCCUUUUCCCUGUUUUCCUCCCUGCACAAUACUUUCGCCUAGGUUGCCUGGGGUGAAGACCUCUGUCAAAGUACUCUCUCUUACAAUUGAAAGCCCUACACACUGGGCUUAGGAGGAAUUUUCUGGUCACAGGUACGUUUAGAUGAGGAUAUGUGAGCUAGCAUCAUGGCUCAUCCCUCCAUUUCCUGCCCUCAGUGUCCUCAGCUCAAAUCUCCAAGCCUACAGCGUGCAACCAUGAGUUGUGUGGCUCAUUAAUCCUUUUGGCCAUGGAACUCAGAGCCCAUGGAGGUGGAAAGUGAGGCUGGAGCCUCAGGGGUAGCCUCUCCUCAUGAGGUGGCACCUUCCAAUAACAGGUGGACAAAGCUUAGAAGCAUCAACCUAGGAGCUGUGUCAUGGUGUAGUGCUUUGGCAUGGUGAAGGACAGCAUCAAAAGCUGUCAACCGCCAGAAAGGGGAGAAAGAAAAGGUGGCAUCUUCCCAAAGUAGAGUGUGUUGCAACUGCCUGCAGAGCUGGCUUACAGAGUGGUGGGGUAUGUGUGUGGGAGGAGAAACAAGCUACCAGAAAUACUAAAAUAAUUGACUGGCUGGCAGGCUAAAACUUAGAAGAGGCUGUGAUUAUACUUGUCACUAUCUGUUAACCUUCAAAACAGGUGCUGAGCAUUUGAAGUGCCAACGUGGUGAUCGGGCUGCAAUCUGUAUAUGUGUAGACAGUAGUAACACAAACACAGGCAGGGGGAAGGGGCUGGGGACAUGCCAAGUGGGCACAUGGGCUAAAAGGGGAUGGCCCUGGGCAGUCAGAGUGGAAAUGCAAGUGGACUUGGCUGGCUGGGAAAAACCAGACAACUUCCCAGAGGGGCUGGGAUGGAGCAGGAAGCGUCUUCAACUGAUGGCAAACAGUGCUGCAAGGAGGACCCUGGAGAAGGGACUCCACUUUGCUAGGCUGAUUUGGCUGCUGAAGAUUUCAGGCUAGCUUUAUAAAUGUUUUCAGUUUACUGCAAUUCAGCUGGAGGAACCUUGAAUCCUGCCAAGAUCCUCAAUGUCCACUCUCUGUCUAGCUCAGUGUAUUUUUUUAAAUAUAUUUCAGCUUGGUAGCUUCUUUUGAAAGUCAACAAAAAGUGCUAAACUUUCAGUUUUAAUAAUUUUAUGUGGGAAAAAUGUCAGUAAGAGCACAGUAGAAAAGAGAAUAGAAAAAAUAAUUUAUAAAAACUUUCAUUUCUCUUACAGAGAGUAUUUACAUUACCAAACAUGGUGAUGAUGAGCAUCUUGGGAUCUUGCGAGGCUGUAUUGUUAAGUAAGUCAACAAGUGGUGCAGUGCUUGGCAUGUGGGGAAGGUGGGUGAGUGAGUGACGUUCAAGCGGGAGGAUUGGGCAGGGCUCUGAGGAAUACCCAAGGAAUGUGAAAUAAAAGACUUUCAAGAAAAAAUGUCAGGAGUGAAGAUUUGAAGAUUGUGCAUAACUGACAACGGGCAUGGCUUGCAAAGCAAAAAGAUCAUCAACACAUUUAAAAAUCUCCUUGUCUUGUCUAACCAUGUGCAGUUUGUACUAAAAUCCAGGCACAAACUGGGAUGGAAAUGUGCUUAGACUAUGGGUACAAACUAGAUAAUCUUGAGUCUGAGUUCCACCACGGGAUUCCUUCUAAUUCAGCCAAUAUCUCAGCUUCUCCAAUUGCUUUUUAAAGUUACUGUACACCUGCAUUAUACCCUUGUUCCAAAUGAGAACAGCUGAGAAACACAUAUCAUCCAGAAGUGUCUGACGGACCUCCAACAGAAAUAGCUGAUUGCUGAGAAAUUGUCAGGUUUUCUUCAAUUGUGGAUGAAACUUUUUUUCUCCUCGUGGUGUUUAUUUAACAGGCACUGGUUUGGGUGUGAAAUUGGCAGGCUGGAAAAUAUUUCUAUCAUCGGAGGUGGUGCUGCAGGGUAUUGCCUCCAUUUGGGGUCUGUUUUUAGUACAUUCUGGAAUACUGCAAAGCAUGUGCGACAACCAGGUACCUAUAAAUAGUCACUUGGCAGCAUAUCUUGAUCAUCUAAGAUCUGAUGAAAAUGUACUUUCAUGCCUUUGGUUCUCAAGCUGUGCGUGUGCUUCCUACUCUGUUUGUGAGGUGGGGGAAUUUCCGCCAAAGGUUAAGGCAUAGACUGAGCAAACCUGCUGAUCAUUUCUUAGUUCCAUGCUGCAAGGUAAAAAUGGCUAUAAUAUGGAUUUCGGGGGAGAACAGUCAUGCUCUGUAUCCCCCGUUAACCUGGCUCAGAUGCAAUGCUAUUUCCUGUCUGGAGCUAGAAAAGCACAUGUAGCAUUUGGGGGAACGCUCUCAUUUUCCUUCCUUUUUAAAAAGAGUCAAGAGACACAUCUUAGAAGUGGGGAGGUCAGAUUUCACUGAUGGUGUUGACUAUGUUUCCAGUGACUGCAGCAGGAAUUUGGAUACCUCUCUACAUUCCCAUGUCCUGAUCUGUGAGUUCAACCCCACCCAACCCAACAGGGAGAGUUUUAAAGCAGGACUGGUGGUUUGGAGAUUGGAAGUGUGUGCUGAGUAUUUCAGAAAGUUCAGGGCAAAAAGGGAAUUUGUCUCUUCACCUCAAGGAAUUCAACGCCCUUUAUUUCAGCAAAGAAAUUACAGAUUAAAAAGAAAAAGAAAUUUCAGUGAUUUCCAGAGCCCAGGCUUCAUGGCUGCUUCUGACUUGGGUAAAGAUUAGAUGAGGUUGGCUACUUCUUUGCUACUUUUUCAUAGAUGCUUUAUUUUUUCAUUGUGGGGGUUAAUUACCUAAGUGUGCAUAAAAGUAGAGGGGAGAAGAGUAUCUCAUGUCAACUGUGGGUUUCUGCAUCUGCUCUGGACCACUCUGCUUCAAGGCUUUAUCUCACCACUGUAGCACAAUACUGAUAAAACACUGUUACUGCAUCACCAAAGCCAACCACAAAUUUAAAGAGUAGAGCUGGUAGUCUUCGGUGGACCUCCUCUAUCCUUCAAAAUUUGAAAAGAAAUGCUUUUUCAAGGAGCAUAAUACUGAAUUUUGUGUCACUUCUUCCAAGCCCCCAAACAUUUAUUUUCUGAGUUAUUAAAAUCAGCCUCUGGAAGAGCUUCCUAACUUGCUCUUUUAGCAGUCCUUCUGGAAGGAAUCUGGACAUACUGAUAUUAAAGCAUUACUCUAAUUGUGACUGUUUUACAUUGCUUGAUUAUGACUAGAGUCAAAAAUACUCUUCCUUUCCUUGUGAUGUGAAUACAACCUGUGGUUUUCUCCCUGACAAAGAAUAAACAUAUUUGAUGAACGUUCCUGAUUUCUUCAUUAUUCUUGACUCUUCUGAUAUUCUUAUUGUUGAUGGGCUAAUAGUAUAGGUAGGGAUACUCUUGUUCCUAAUGUUCUUCUUUUUAGUCUUCAGUCCUUCCUUAUAGCUUGCUUGUUCUUGAUACAGCUUCUUGAAACUGGCUGUCUUGUAACACUUUGUGUUUUUAACUUACUUGUAUGGGAAUCAUACAAACCAAUCAUUUCC